AACGAACGCUGGCGGCAUGCCUAACACAUGCAAGUCGAACGAGACCUUCGGGACUAGUGGCGCACGGGUGCGUAACGCGUGGGAACCUGCCCUUAGGUACGGAAUAACUCCCCGAAAGGGGUGCUAAUACAGGAUAAUGUCUUCGGAUCAAAGAUUUAUCGCCUUUGGAUGGGCACGCGUUGGAUUAGCUAGUUGGUAGGGUAAAAGCCUACCAAGGCGACGAUACAUAGCUGGUCUGAGAGGAUGAUCAGCCACACUGGGACUGGGACACGGCCCAGACUCCUACGGGAGGCAGCAGUGGGGAAUAUUGGACAAUGGGCGAAAGCCUGAUCCAGCAAUGCCUCGUGAGUGAUGAAGGCCUUAGAGUUGUAAAGCUCUUUUACCCGGGAUGAUAAUGACAGUACCGGGAGAAUAAGCGCCGGCUAACUCCGUG
rnacentral:rRNA from 1 species